AGAGUUUGAUCCUGGCUCAGAUUGAACGCUGGCGGCAGGCCUAACACAUGCAAGUCGAACGGUAACAGGAAGCAGCUUGCUGCUUCGCUGACGAGUGGCGGACGGGUGAGUAAUGUCUGGGAAACUGCCUGAUGGAGGGGGAUAACUACUGGAAACGGUAGCUAAUACCGCAUAACGUCGCAAGACCAAAGAGGGGGACCUUCGGGCCUCUUGCCAUCGGAUGUGCCCAGAUGGGAUUAGCUAGUAGGUGGGGUGACGGCUCACCUAGGCGACGAUCCCUAGCUGGUCUGAGAGGAUGACCAGCCACACUGGAACUGAGACACGGUCCAGACUCCUACGGGAGGCAGCAGUGGGGAAUAUUGCACAAUGGGCGCAAGCCUGAU
rnacentral:rRNA from 1 species